AUCGCUUCUCAGCCUUUUGGCUAAGAUCAAGUGUAAAAGAUGGUUAUUUUUCUCUUUAGUGUAUAAAGACUGUUACAAAUGCAGGGUGAUACACGUGACAGUUGAAUAAUCAUGCAUUUCAAUAAUUUUGUCACCCAUU
ensembl:snRNA LOC120103344 U2 spliceosomal RNA